GAGAAUAUUCGACAAUGGGCGAAAGCCUGAUCGAGCGACGCCGCGUGCAGGAAGACGGCCUUCGGGUUGUAAACUGCUUUUGCGUGGGAAGAAUUUUGACGGUACCACGAGAAUAAGGGGUUGCUAACUCUGUGCCAGCAGCAGCGGUAAUACAGAGACCCCGAGCAUUAUCCGGAAUUACUGGGCGUAAAGCGCGAGCAGCCGGUUAUGUUAGUCCGAUGUAAAACCAUGGGGCCCAACCUCAUGUCCGCAUUGGAAACGGCAUACCUAGAGUGAAUGAGAGGAGAGCAGAACGUAUGGUGUAGGGGUGAAAUCCACUGAUAUCAUACGGAAUACCAAAAGCGAAGGCA
rnacentral:rRNA from 1 species